rnacentral:misc_RNA from 1 species
GGAUAAUAUAACUGGAGAGCUCAGUGAAGCUAAAUCUGAGGAGGGAGACCAAAAUCAGAUGAUAGAAGAAUCAGAAAAUCCUAAGACUCCAUCAGAAUCAGAGAGCAGUCCUAAAUCUUCAACUGAGGAAGACCCUCAAGCAGUAAAAUCAUCCAAGACUGAGAAUGAACCGACUAAUGUGACAAAUUCCGAGCAGAACAAUCUGAAGAAGCCAG